UCCGUAGGUGAACCUGCGGUUGGAUCAUUAAAAAGAUCUAGCCCGAAGUGGGACUGAGAGAUCGGAUCGAGGUAUCCGCGACACUGUCGUGGGUGUUUCGCCGAUCACUCUAACCCAUGCCGGGUUUUCUCACCUCAAAAGUGAGUCAACAUUAUGUGAACUGUUCUGUCUCUGGCGGUGGGGUGGUGUCAAAACUACCUGUCAGCAUCCGGGUUCUCUCGGUGUGCCGUGGACAAGCCGUCAAUGGUGUAUGUUUCAUACAAACUUUUGUUUCAUCAAUCUGUCUGACAUACCUUUGUAUCUAAAAUAUACAAAAACAACUUUUGGCAACGGAUCUCUUGGCUCCCGCAACGAUGAAGAACGCAGUGAAAUGCGAUAUGUAGUGUGAAUUGCAGAAUUCAGUGAAUCAUCGAAUCUUUGAACGCACAUUGCGCUCCCUGGUAUUCCGGGGAGCAUGCUCGUUUCAGAAUCAUUAACAUUCUCAAAGGCACGGUCUGAACCCUCGGGCGACGCCGUUACCCUUUCGGAUGUGAGCCUCUUUGCUGCAAAGCAAUGGCUUGAAAAUGAUUGUGUUUGCAACCGGCCUUCUUGGUUCGGUUCUCUCAAGUGCAACAGAUGUUAGCUCAUUCGUUACCUCUCGAAGAGAAGCGAUUCCAUGGUCUGGAUCUUACACUCAACCAACAUACACUUUCAGUGAUCCUUGGAUCAUUGUCUGAUAACUUGGUCUGAAAUCGAGCAAGAAAACCCGCUGAACUUAAGCAUAUCAAUAAGCGGAGGAAAAGAAACUAACAAGGAUUCCCCUAGUAACGGCGAGUGAAGCGGGAACAGCUCAAAUUUGAAAUCUCACAAGGUCACUUGUGCGAAUUGUAGUUUAGAGAAACGUUUUCGGGGGCAACGUGGGUAUAAGUCCUUUGGAAAGAGGCAUCAUAGAGGGUGAGAAUCCCGUUUAUGAUCCACUGUUUGCUCCUAUGUGAUACGUUUUCCAAGAGUCAGGUAGUUUGGGAUUGCUGCCUAAAAUGGGUGGUAAAUACCAUCUAAAGCUAAAUAUUGGCGGGAGACCGAUAGCGAACAAGUACCGUGAGGGAAAGAUGAAAAGAACUUUGAAAAGAGAGUUAAACAGUACGUGAAAUUGCCAAAAGGGAAACGCUUGAAGU
rnacentral:sRNA from 1 species